rnacentral:rRNA from 1 species
GGUUAAGCGACUAAGCGUACACGGUGGAUGCCCUGGCAGUCAGAGGCGAUGAAGGACGUGCUAAUCUGCGAAAAGCGUCGGUAAGGUGAUAUGAACCGUUAUAGCCGGCGAUGUCCGAAUGGGGAAACCCAGUGCAAUUCGUUGCACUAUCGUUAACUGAAUACAUAGGUUAACGAGGCGAACCGGGGGAACUGAAACAUCUAAGUACCCCGAGGAAAAGAAAUCAACCGAGAUUCCCCCAGUAGCGGCGAGCGAACGGGGAGCAGCCCAGAGUCUGAAUCAGCUUGUGUGUUAGUGGAACGGUCUGGAAAGUCCGACGGUACAGGGUGAUAGUCCCGUACACCAAAAUGCACAGGCUGUGAACUCGAAGAGUAGGGCGGGACACGUGGUAUCCUGUCUGAAUAUGGGGGGACCAUCCUCCAAGGCUAAAUACUCCUGACUGACCGAUAGUGAACCAGUACCGUGAGGGAAAGGCGAAAAGAACCCCGGCGAGGGGAGUGAAAAAGAACCUGAAACCGUGUACGUACAAGCAGUGGGAGCACCUUCGGGUGUGACUGCGUACCUUUUGUAUAAUGGGUCAGCGACUUAUAUUCUGUAGCAAGGUUAACCGUAUAGGGGAGCCGCAGGGAAACCGAGUCUUAACUGGGCGUUAAGUUGCAGGGUAUAGACCCGAAACCCGGUGAUCUAGCCAUGGGCAGGUUGAAGGUUGGGUAACACUAACUGGAGGACCGAACCGACUAAUGUUGAAAAAUUAGCGGAUGACUUGUGGCUGGGGGUGAAAGGCCAAUCAAACCGGGAGAUAGCUGGUUCUCCCCGAAAGCUAUUUAGGUAGCGCCUCGUGAAUUCAUCUUCGGGGGUAGAGCACUGUUUCGGCUAGGGGGUCAUCCCGACUUACCAACCCGAUGCAAACUACGAAUACCGAAGAAUGUUAUCACGGGAGACACACGGCGGGUGCUAACGUCCGUCGUGAAGAGGGAAACAACCCAGACCGCCAGCUAAGGUCCCAAAGUCAUGGUUAAGUGGGAAACGAUGUGGGAAGGCACAGACAGCCAGGAUGUUGGCUUAGAAGCAGCCAUCAUUUAAAGAAAGCGUAAUAGCUCACUGGUCGAGUCGGCCUGCGCGGAAGAUGUAACGGGGCUAAACCAUGCACCGAAGCUGCGGCAGCGACACUAUGUGUUGUUGGGUAGGGGAGCGUUCUGUAAGCCUGCGAAGGUGUGCUGUGAGGCAUGCUGGAGGUAUCAGAAGUGCGAAUGCUGACAUAAGUAACGAUAAAGCGGGUGAAAAGCCCGCUCGCCGGAAGACCAAGGGUUCCUGUCCAACGUUAAUCGGGGCAGGGUGAGUCGACCCCUAAGGCGAGGCCGAAAGGCGUAGUCGAUGGGAAACAGGUUAAUAUUCCUGUACUUGGUGUUACUGCGAAGGGGGGACGGAGAAGGCUAUGUUAGCCGGGCGACGGUUGUCCCGGUUUAAGCAUGUAGGCUGAUUGUCCAGGCAAAUCCGGAUAAUCAAGGCUGAGGUGUGAUGACGAGGCACUACGGUGCUGAAGUAACAAAUGCCCUGCUUCCAGGAAAAGCCUCUAAGCAUCAGGUAACAUCAAAUCGUACCCCAAACCGACACAGGUGGUCAGGUAGAGAAUACCAAGGCGCUUGAGAGAACUCGGGUGAAGGAACUAGGCAAAAUGGUGCCGUAACUUCGGGAGAAGGCACGCUGGUGUGUAGGUGAAGCCCCUGCGGGUGGAGCUGAGACCAGUCGAAGAUACCAGCUGGCUGCAACUGUUUAUUAAAAACACAGCACUGUGCAAACACGAAAGUGGACGUAUACGGUGUGACGCCUGCCCGGUGCCGGAAGGUUAAUUGAUGGGGUUAUCCGUAAGGAGAAGCUCUUGAUCGAAGCCCCGGUAAACGGCGGCCGUAACUAUAACGGUCCUAAGGUAGCGAAAUUCCUUGUCGGGUAAGUUCCGACCUGCACGAAUGGCGUAAUGAUGGCCAGGCUGUCUCCACCCGAGACUCAGUGAAAUUGAACUCGCUGUGAAGAUGCAGUGUACCCGCGGCAAGACGGAAAGACCCCGUGAACCUUUACUAUAGCUUGACACUGAACAUUGAGCCUUGAUGUGUAGGAUAGGUGGGAGGCUUUGAAGCGUGGACGCCAGUCUGCGUGGAGCCAACCUUGAAAUACCACCCUUUAAUGUUUGAUGUUCUAACGUUGGCCCCUGACCGGGGUUGCGGACAGUGUCUGGUGGGUAGUUUGACUGGGGCGGUCUCCUCCCAAAGCGUAACGGAGGAGCACGAAGGUUAGCUAAUCCUGGUCGGACAUCAGGAGGUUAGUGCAAUGGCAUAAGCUAGCUUGACUGCGAGCGUGACGGCGCGAGCAGGUGCGAAAGCAGGUCAUAGUGAUCCGGUGGUUCUGAAUGGAAGGGCCAUCGCUCAACGGAUAAAAGGUACUCCGGGGAUAACAGGCUGAUACCGCCCAAGAGUUCAUAUCGACGGCGGUGUUUGGCACCUCGAUGUCGGCUCAUCACAUCCUGGGGCUGAAGUAGGUCCCAAGGGUAUGGCUGUUCGCCAUUUAAAGUGGUACGCGAGCUGGGUUUAGAACGUCGUGAGACAGUUCGGUCCCUAUCUGCCGUGGGCGCUGGAGAAUUGAGGGGGGCUGCUCCUAGUACGAGAGGACCGGAGUGGACGCAUCACUGGUGUUCGGGUUGUCAUGCCAAUGGCACUGCCCGGUAGCUAAAUGCGGAAGAGAUAAGUGCUGAAAGCAUCUAAGCACGAAACUUGCCCCGAGAUGAGUUCUCCCUGAGACUUUAAGUCUCCUGAAGGAACGUUGAAGACGACGACGUUGAUAGGCCGGGUGUGUAAGCGCAGCGAUGCGUUGAGCUAACCGGUACUAAUGAACCGUGAGGCUUAACCUU